rnacentral:tRNA from 3 species
GGGUGUUUUCCAGAGUGGCCAAAUGGGGCAGACUGUAAAUCUGCUGUCUUUCGACUUCGGUGGUUCGAAUCCAUCAGCACCCACUA